rnacentral:rRNA from 1 species
AUGAAUCUCUUGGCCUGGAACUGUCGAGGCUUGGGGUUGGACUCGAUAGUUGGCGAAUUACGAUACCUGGUACAGUCCCACAACCCAACCGUGGUUUUCUUAAGUGAAACAAAAAAGAAAUCAAGAGCUAUGGACAGACUCAAAUGGAGUUUGGGGUUUACUAAUGGGGUGGCGGUUGACUGUGUAGGCCGGAGUGGUGGCCUAGCACUCUGGUGGAGAGAU